GAUGAACGCUGGCGGCGUGCUUAACACAUGCAAGUCGAACGAUGAAGCCCAGCUUGCUGGGUGGAUUAGUGGCGAACGGGUGAGUAACACGUGAGUAACCUGCCCUUAACUCUGGGAUAAGCCUGGGAAACUGGGUCUAAUACCGGAUAGGAGCGCCUACCGCAUGGUGGGUGUUGGAAAGAUUUAUCGGUUUUGGAUGGACUCGCGGCCUAUCAGCUUGUUGGUGAGGUAAUGGCCCACCAAGGCGACGACGGGUAGCCGGCCUGAGAGGGUGACCGGCCACACUGGGACUGAGGCACGGCCCAGACUCCUACGGGAGGCAGCAGUGGGGAAUAUUGCACAAUGGGCGAAAGCCUGAUGCAGCGACGCCGCGUGAGGGAUGACGGCCUUCGGGUUGUAAACCUCUUUCAGUAGGGAAGAAGCGAAAGUGACGGUGCCUGCAGAAGAAGCACCGGCUAACUACGUG
rnacentral:rRNA from 1 species